UGUUUGAGAGUUGAUCCUGGCUGUUAGCUGGGAGCCCCAGGGCUUCUCCAUAUGAUUUCUCCAUAUGGGCUAGUUUGGGCUGCCUCACAGCAUGG
rnacentral:miRNA from 1 species